CGAACGAGUUCUCGUUGAUGAUCGGUGCUUGCACCGAGAUUCAACAUGGCACGAGUGGCGGACGGGUGAGUAACACGUGGGUAACCUGCCCUUAAGUGGGGGAUAACAUUUGGAAACAGAUGCUAAUACCGCAUAGAUCCAAGAACCGCAUGGUUCUUGGCUGAAAGAUGGCGUAAGCUAUCGCUUUUGGAUGGACCCGCGGCGUAUUAGCUAGUUGGUGAGGUAAUGGCUCACCAAGGCGAUGAUACGUAGCCGAACUGAGAGGUUGAUCGGCCACAUUGGGACUGAGACACGGCCCAAACUCCUACGGGAGGCAGCAGUAGGGAAUCUUCCACAAUGGACGCAAGUCUGAUGGAGCAACGCCGCGUGAGUGAAGAAGGCUUUCGGGUCGUAAAACUCUGUUGUUGGAGAAGAAUGGUCGGCAGAGUAACUGUUGCCGGCGUGACGGUAUCCAACCAGAAAGCCACGGCUAACUACGUGCCAGCAGCCGCGGUAAUACGUAGGUGGCAAGCGUUAUCCGGAUUUAUUGGGCGUAAAGCGAGCGCAGGCGGUUUUUUAAGUCUGAUGUGAAAGCCCUCGGCUUAACCGAGGAAGCGCAUCGGAAACUGGGAAACUUGAGUGCAGAAGAGGACAGUGGAACUCCAUGUGUAGCGGUGAAAUGCGUAGAUAUAUGGAAGAACACCAGUGGCGAAGGCGGCUGUCUGGUCUGUAACUGACGCUGAGGCUCGAAAGCAUGGGUAGCGAACAGGAUUAGAUACCCUGGUAGUCCAUGC
rnacentral:rRNA from 1 species